rnacentral:piRNA from 1 species
AGGACCAUUCCAGGGAAACAGCAGCUG